ACUUGUGUAGCUUAUUCAAAGCACAACACUGAAGAUGUCGAGACUGGGCCCUGAAAAGCUCCAUAAGUA
rnacentral:tRNA from 1 species